rfam:Felis catus isolate Cinnamon breed Abyssinian chromosome B2, whole genome shotgun sequence.
GCCUGGGUGGCUCAGACGGUUGAGCGUCCGACUUCGGCUCAGGUCAUGAUCUCACAGUUCGUGGGUUCGAGCCCCGCAUCAGGCU